CCGCAUGAAAAGCAAAGAAAGCUCGGGAUCCAUUUUCUUCACCGUCGAGCAUGUCCACCGCUAUGCGGCUACUUCGAAAAUGCGGUGGCAUUUGUGCAACUCCAUCUCUGAGAGCUCGAAGUUUCCGAUCGAAUGCAGCGCUAGAAGCCAUAGCCAAAGCUUCUGAAGAAAGAAUCCCAAAUAUCGCUUUGUACAACUACCCCUCAUUUUCUGGAGCUUUCUCCGCUCUCUUCGCUCACCUCUUCCACUCUCAUCUCAACCUCCCUUGCCUCAUCUUGCCAUUCUCUUCCGUUGAGCCUCUCAGGGUUGAGGAUUUGAAUGUUGAGGGAAUAAACAAAUGUUAUUUUCUUGAUUUUCUUGGGCCAAAGGGAUUUGCAGUGGAUCUUUCCCAAAAAUCACCAUGCCAGGUAAUAGGCUUUGAUCACCGAAAAUCAUCAGUUUCCCAGAUUCCUUCUCCGGAAGAUUGCCCUGAGAACCUCAAAUUUCAUUUUGAUCUUGAGAGGAGUAGCUCAAAUGCAGUAUAUGAAUAUUUCUCUAAUGAACUUGCAGAUAUGAAAUCUCCUAAUGGGGAGGCUGAGGGUCUAUUGAACCCAGAAGACCGUGAUCGUAUUGAAAUGGUUCUAAAGUACAUUGAAGAUGGAGAUCUUUGCCGAUGGAAGUUACCAGACAUUAAAGCAUUUAAUAUUGGACUUAGUGGAUGGCGCUCAAAAUUCAACAGCAUCACUAAUCCAUGCAUGUAUGAGCAGUUGCUGGAGAUAAGUGCUGUGGAUUUAAUUUCCAAGGGAAAUUCUUAUAUUUCCUCUUGUCAGCAUGCUGCAAGUAAUCUGCUGAAAUUGAAUAAAGUUUUCAAAGUUCGGUUGGGCAGAGGAUUUUAUGGAGAGUGUCUGGGAGUUAGAGCUGAUGGUAAUUCAAACUUAACUGAUGAAAUUGGCAAGCAACUUAGUCAAAAGAGUGCUGCAGCUGGUUUAAGGCCUAUAGGAGCUGUUACUUACAUGCAACGGAAUAAUCUAAAAAUGUGCUUGAGGAGCACUGAUAGUGCUACUGAUACGUCUGAAGUUGCGAAGGCAUAUGGUGGAGGUGGUUCCCCAAGUUCUAGCUCCUUUAUAAUAAGGAUGGAUGAGUAUAACCAAUGGCUUUCAGUGAAUUCAUCUUGAUGUUGAGGUUUCAGAGGAUAUUGGCUGAUAUGGCUUGAAUCUUGGUGUUGUGGUGUCUUAUCAACUACACAUUGCAUGGGAAAGGCCUACAAGUUCUCUUGGAACCAGUGCUCUAAUGGUGUUACCAGACAGAUGAAAAUGGACUGAGAGGAAGAGAAUGAAAAAGGUGGAGACUGAGACAGACUCUUCCCUUCACUGGUCUCCUCUAGUUUUAUCAAUUGAUGGAUAUAGUACCAAGAGGUGCUCUAGAAUUUUCUACGUCAUUAUGCAUGCUCAAUAAAAGUUAAAAACCAUUAUUCAAAGGGCAGAGUAGUAGGAAUUUUUUAGGGUACCAAGAGCUCUCAUCAGGCCUUAAAAAUCUUUGGAUGUGAGCAAAAUUUCUUUUUCUCGAGUUUAUUGAUUGUUUGGAAAGUGCCUAAUUCCUAUGUAUUCUGUGUCCCCUUUUUUGUGUGGAGUCUCUUAACACAUAUUUCUUAUUGCCUAAAAAUAUUUUGUUUUUAGAAGUUUGAAUUCUGAGAAGUCUUAUUGCCUAAAAAAAACUGGUUUGUGUAGUAGUUUUUUCCAUUUCCCUGAUUACAAAUGAUUGAUAUAAUGUACUUUUCUGCUAUCAGAAGAAAAUUAGCAAAAAUUACAGAUCACUGAAUUGGUACACAUUCACUUGAAAUAGGACUUGUAUGCCAUGAAUG